GUACAUGCAGAGAUGUCUGCUCUUCAUUCCUUUAGGAGCAGGUGUACAUCUUUAACAUGUUGUACUUAUUUAUUAAUUUUAUUUUUUUUUGAGACAAAG
rnacentral:snoRNA from 1 species